rnacentral:rRNA from 1 species
GGAGGGAUCAUUACUGAGUUACCGCUCUAUAACCCUUUGUGAACAUACCUAACCGUUGCUUCGGCGGGCAGGGGAAGCCUCUCGCGGGCCUCCCCUCCCGGCGCCGGCCCCACCACGGGGACGGGGCGCCCGCCGGAGGAAACCAAACUCUAUUUACACGACGUCUCUUCUGAGUGGCACAAGCAAAUAAUUAAAACUUUUAACAACGGAUCUCUUGGUUCUGGCAUCGAUGAAGAACGCAGCGAAAUGCGAUAAGUAAUGUGAAUUGCAGAAUUCAGUGAAUCAUCGAAUCUUUGAACGCACAUUGCGCUCGCCAGCAUUCUGGCGAGCAUGCCUGUUCGAGCGUCAUUUCAACCCUCAAGCACCGCUUGGUUUUGGGGCCCCACGGCACACGUGGGCCCUUAAAGGUAGUGGCGGACCCUCCCGGAGCCUCCUUUGCGUAGUAACUAACGUCUCGCACUGGGAUCCGGAGGGACUCUUGCCGUAAAACCCCCAAAUUUUUUACAGGUUGACCUCGGAUCAGGUAGGAAUACCCGCUGAACUUAAGCAUAUCAAUAAGCGGAGGAAAAGAAACCAACAGGGAUUGCCCCAGUAACGGCGAGUGAAGCGGCAACAGCUCAAAUUUGAAAUCUGG